CCCUUAGAUGUCCUGGGCCGCACGCGCGCUACACUGAACGGAUCAGCGCGUUUUCCCUUCCCGAGAGGGACGGGUAACCUGCUGAACCCCGUUCGUGGUAGGGAUCGGGGCUUGCAAUUAUUCCCCGUGAACCAGGAAUGCCCAGUAAGUGCAAGUCAUAAGCUUGCGUUGAUUACGUCCCUGCCCUUUGUACACACCGCCCGUCGCUACUACCGAUUGAACGUUUUAGUGAGGUACUCGGACUGAGCCUCAGAAGAUUCACGUCUUUUGCGCUGCUCGGGAAGAUUCCCAAACUUGAGCGUUUAGAGGAAGUAAAAGUCGUAACA
rnacentral:rRNA from 1 species